rnacentral:rRNA from 1 species
AGUGAACGCUGGCGGUAGGCCUAACACAUGCAAGUCGAACGGAAGCACGGUAAGAGCUUGCCCUUACGGUUGGCGGCGGGCGGGUGGGUGAGGAAUACAUAAGCAACUACUUUGACGGGGGGGAUAACGGAGGGAAGUAUACGAUAAUAGAGAAUACGACGUACGGCAGGGAGCAAAGGAUGUUGGCAGUUUGGGUGUCAGAUAGAGACGAUGUCGCAUUAGCUAGUUGGGGUGGUAAAGGCCCACCAAGGCGACGAUCCGUAGCUGGUCUGAGAGGAUGAUCAGCCACACUGGAACUGAGACACGGUCCAGACUCCUACGGGAGGCAGCAGUGGGGAAUAUUGGGCAAUGGGCGCAAGCCUGAUCCAGCCAUACCGCGUGGGUGAAGAAGGCCUUCGGGUUGUAAAGCCCUGUUGUUGGGAAAGAAAAGCAGCAUGUGAAUCCCCCGCUGUUCUGACGGUACCCAAAGAAUAAGCACCGGCUAACUUCGUG